rnacentral:rRNA from 1 species
CGCGUAGGCGGGUUACCAAGUCAGGGGUGAAAUCUUUCGGCUCAACCGGAAAAGUGCCCCUGAUACUGGUAGUCUUGAGCGAGGUAGGGGCAUGUGGAACUUCCGGUGGAGCGGUGAAAUGCGUAGAUAUCGGAAGGAACGCCGGUGGCGAAAGCGACGUGCUGGACCUCUUCUGACGCUGAGGCGCGAAAGCCAGGGGAGCGAACGGGAUUAGAUACCCCGGUAGUCCUGGCCCUAAACGAUGGGUACUAGGUUGUGGACUUGACAUGGGUUCACAGCCGAAGCAAAAGUGCUAAGUACCCCGCCUGGGGAGUAUGGUCGCAAGGCUGAA